GAACCUGGCGGAAUGCUUACACAUGCAAGUCGAGCGGCAGCGCGGGGCAACCUGGCGGCGAGCGGCGAACGGGUGAGUAAUGCAUCGGAACAUGUCCAUGUCGUGGGGGAUAGCCCGGCGAAAGCCGGAUUAAUACCGCAUACGCCCGAGAGGGGAAAGUGGGGGACCGCAAGGCCUCACGCGAUUGGGUUGGCCGAUGUCCGAUUAGCUAGUUGGCGGGGUAAAAGCCCACCAAGGCGAUGAUCGGUAGCUGGUCUGAGAGGAUGAUCAGCCACACUGGGACUGAGACACGGCCCAGACUCCUACGGGAGGCAGCAGUGGGGAAUUUUGGACAAUGGGGGCAACCCUGAUCCAGCCAUUCCGCGUGAGUGAAGAAGGCCUUCGGGUUGUAAAGCUCUUUUGUCCGGAACGAAACGGGACGCGUGAAUAUCGCGGCCUACUGACGGUACCGGAAGAAUAAGCACCGGCUAACUACGUGCCAGCAGCCGCGGUAAUACGUAGGGUGCGAGCGUUAAUCGGAAUUACUG
rnacentral:rRNA from 1 species